rnacentral:lncRNA from 1 species
UAUAAAUCCCAAUGAGACAACUGUCCACAAAAGGACACAGAAAUUAACAACUGUAGGUCACCGUACGGCCUUCAACAAUGAGCAAAGUCCAUAUCGCAUUGUCAUCUAUAAAAGGUUCAGAAAUAACAAUGAAAUCCAAUUGAAACGAGAAAACUAACGGCCUUAAUUAUAUAAAACAAAUGAACAAAAACAAAUAGUAAAGAAACGACAACC